rnacentral:lncRNA from 1 species
UCAUCCAUUUAACCAGCGACUUUCAAUGUGGAUAGUAUUGACUAUGACACUCCCUGCCCUUCAGAGCAAGAUCAGAUUGCAAAUGUGUUCUCCAAUGGCUUCUCUGGAUCUGGAUUAGAGAAAACUGAUGGCUGAUGGUGAUCAUAGAAACAAGGCAUGACAGUGACAUGCUUCAUUUAUGCCCACAAUUGAUUAUAUCAAAUGGCUUAUAAGCUUCUGGAAUCAACUGUGUGAUCUUCAAAACUGGCAACUUGAGAACAGAGCAGGAAGUAAGUGGUUCAGCUUUGGAUACCCUGGUAAGGAUCCCAACAGUCAAAGAGCAUGUUCCUUUGGAAGCCAUUGUCAAUGGAGGCAGGGCUGCCAUCAGCUGGCACUCAUCAGGAAGGUCCCACUGUGUCAGUCUGUCUGUUCCAACUACUUGUUUCAUCUUUUGAGUAUCACACCUACUGAUGACCUUGGCGUGAUGUCUAUUGCCCGAUGCCAGCAAGUUUCAAACACCUCCUCCUACAACUUGUAUAUCUCCCCAUGGGUAUAAGGAAUAAAGAAAGAGAAGGGAACCUUGUGAAAUGACUGGUGAUGCCCUCCCAAGGAGACUGGCAUAAACCAGAAGUGACUAAGUUUACCUUGAUUGUCGAGCUUAAGUUUUCCACUAUGAAUUUGUGAACUAAUUUAAGCUCAUUUACAGUGCAUUAAAGAGAGCUCCAUUUUGUUUUAACAUGUAAAAUUUUAACUGCUACAAAUGUGAAUCACUGCAUUUAAGCUUUCACUUCUCAUAUCUUGAUGUCAAAUGCGCCCCAAAGCCUCUAAAGCAAUCAGGCAUUUCCUAGAGGAGAUCUAAGGGGAAACAUGUUCUUCUGCAAUUUUAGAGGGCGGGAUGAUGGGCUCAUUGGGGGUGUAUUACCACAGUAGGGUCUCACUUACAAAGUGGCACGAUAGGAAUUGACCUUUCUACUUUUUAGGGAUUGGGAAAAGCUGUAAAGCAAACCCCUAUUAGAGAAGAGGCUGAAUGAUAUGUUUCUUUCACAUGAGUUGAAAUCAGGAGUACUUGAUUUCAAAUAGGAAAAGCAGCAAAUGGAAGAAGUGUAAAUGAUAGACUGGACAAAGGAAAUAUGGCACAUAUAUACCAUGGAAUACUAUGCAACCAUGAAAAAUGAUGAGUUUGUGUCCUUUGUAGGGACAUGGAUGAACCUGAAAACCAUCAUUCUCAGCAAACUGACACAAGAACAGAAAAUCAAACACUACAUGUUCUCACUCAUAGGCGGAUGUUGAACAAUGAAAACAUGUGGACACAGAGAGGGGAGCAUCACACACUGGGGUCCAUUGUGGGGCGGUUAGGGGAGGGAUAGU